rnacentral:rRNA from 1 species
AUGGCGUCCACGCCUUUGAACAAGACGGCGUCGACGCACAGGUCGGCGUUAGUCCGAGGCACGCACCGGUUUCACAUCGUCGGUUACAGCGAGCAGAAGGCUCUCGCCGGCGUGAGCGGGAGAAACUCCUCCAUCAUCAGGUCCGGCGACUUCGAGGCCGGAGAAUGCACCUGGGCCCUCAGUUGUUGCUUCAAGAAACAAGGACUGGCGUCCAUCUCCCUGGAGCUGGUCAGCGGCAAGUACGCCGCCACUGCCAUGGUGAGCUUGAGGAUCGACGACCCGCUUCACCGGUGGCCUGCCGCAGUAUGGCGAAGCCCGGACACCAACACCUUCCCCGCUUUGCCAGCAACAACAAGUGAAAGCAGGAGUUGGAAGCUGUCGGUCCCCGAGGCGUUCAUCCAUGGACAGGAGGAGCGCUGCGUGGUAGAUGACCGCCUCACCAUCCUCUGCAUUGUCGAUGUCCUCCGGGUGGACCCCACACCAGCAAGGACCAGGAACUGCUUCAUCUCCGUGGUGCCACCGCCAACCAUCUCCGGCGAUCUGCUCAUGCUUCUUUCUGCGUCGCUGUCUAAAUUGGAGUCCGCGAAGCCCUGCCUGAGGCCGGAUGUGACGUUCAUCGUGGAGCAGAUCGAGAUCCAUGCGCACAAGCUUGUCCUCUCCGUGCGGUCGCCCGUUUUUGAGGCGGAUUUCCGAUGGCACAUGGAUGAGAGCUGCAUAAUCAGGGUCGUCCACGACAUGAGUACCUCCACUUUCAGGGCCAUGCUCCGCUUCAUCUACACAGACGAGCUGCCCAUCAAACCAACCAACAACGGCAUCAUACUAACAAGUGAAGAUAAAUAUGCGGCAAGGCGCUACGAGGCCAUGGUGUGCGACCUGAUGAUAGCCGCCGAUCAGUAUGACCUAGAGAGGUUAAGGCUUUUGUGCGAGAACGUGCUGGCUGAGGGCAUGGACGAUAUGUCUGUCAUACCUACACUGAUGAUGGUGCAUGGUAGGUACCGUUGUUGGCAGCUUGAGAAUUCAUGCAUCAAAUACGUAGCGUCCCAUCCUAAUGUUUACAGCGCCCUGAAGGCGACCGAGGAGUAUAACGAGAUCAAGAAUAGUUGCUGCUCUUUCCUGCUCGAGGUCAUCGACAAAAUAGACAUGAUUAUGGCUCCAAACUCAAGCUCCGACAAUCUCCAGUCCCACAAAAGAAAGCGAGAUGAUUGCUUGUCAGCGGUGGUAGUCCAUGGUACGCACAAGUUUACAAUCCCGUACUUUUGGGUUGUCCAGAGGAGCCUGCUUGCUGUGGGCAAAAAUACAAUUCGUUCUGGCAUUUUCCUGGUUGACGGUUACAGCUGGAGGCUAUGGGUACGGCGGUUAUACCCUUCCAGUUCUUUGGCAUUCGUUGUGUAUCUCUGUUUGGUGAGUUGUUUUGAAACUGCCCAUGUCACUACGUCAAUUAGCUUCAAGAUAGAUGACCCUAGUGGCAGGUCGUUGCCGCCGAUAACAAUGGUAGAAGAAAUUUUUACCAAGGCAGAAAACUUCAGGGGUGCAGAGUUCACCCUCAAGAAAUCUACCAAAUUCUCACAUGAUGACUCCCUCACUGUACACUGCCAUCUCACUGUCACCAAGGAGGCUGCUUGCACUAGUUCUAGCACCAUCACCGCUGGUGCCGGAGCCACGGUCGUUGUGCCUCAAUCCGACAUUGGUUUGCACCUUGAGCAGUUGUUGGUAAGUGGGCAAAGCACCGAUGUGAGGUUCCUAGUUGAGGAGUGCGACAUCCGUGCUCAUGGGUUGGUGAUAGCGUCUCGAUCACCGGUCCUAUACCAAGUGGUUGAAGCGGCGGCGGCCAAGGAGGACGAUCAUCAUAUCGUACGGGUCAACAACAUGAAGGCAGCGGUCUUCAGGUCUGUUCUCCACUUCAUCUACACCGACAAGCUACCCUGUACAGAUAACCCAGUCCUUGCUGUUGAAGACAUGCUCGUGGCAGCCUGCCGAUUCCGUCUCGAGAGGUUGAAGAUUGCGUGCGAGAACUUUUUGGCCGAGCACAUCUCGAAUAAGAAUGCAUUGACCACGUUGGAACUGGCGCAGCAUCACAACUGCUUGGAGCUAGAAGAUUACUGCGUCAAGUUCAUCUCGACAUGA